rnacentral:rRNA from 4 species
UGGCAUGGGGGGUGCUAUAAUGCAGUCGACGAGUUCUGAUUAUUGAAAGGUGCUUGCAUCUUGAUUUAAUUUUGAACGAGUGGCGGACGGGUGAGUAACACGUGGGUAACCUGCCCUUAAGUGGGGGAUAACAUUUGGAAACAGAUGCUAAUACCGCAUAAAUCCAAGAACCGCAUGGUUCUUGGCUGAAAGAUGGCGUAAGCUAUCGCUUUUGGAUGGACCCGCGGCGUAUUAGCUAGUUGGUGAGGUAACGGCUCACCAAGGCAAUGAUACGUAGCCGAACUGAGAGGUUGAUCGGCCACAUUGGGACUGAGACACGGCCCAAACUCCUACGGGAGGCAGCAGUAGGGAAUCUUCCACAAUGGACGCAAGUCUGAUGGAGCAACGCCGCGUGAGUGAAGAAGGCUUUCGGGUCGUAAAACUCUGUUGUUGGAGAAGAAUGGUCGGCAGAGUAACUGUUGUCGGCGUGACGGUAUCCAACCAGAAAGCCACGGCUAACUACGUGCCAGCAGCCGCGGUAAUACGUAGGUGGCAAGCGUUAUCCGGAUUUAUUGGGCGUAAAGCGAGCGCAGGCGGUUUUUUAAGUCUGAUGUGAAAGCCCUCGGCUUAACCGAGGAAGUGCAUCGGAAACUGGGAAACUUGAGUGCAGAAGAGGACAGUGGAACUCCAUGUGUAGCGGUGAAAUGCGUAGAUAUAUGGAAGAACACCAGUGGCGAAGGCGGCUGUCUGGUCUGUAACUGACGCUGAGGCUCGAAAGCAUGGGUAGCGAACAGGAUUAGAUACCCUGGUAGUCCAUGCCGUAAACGAUGAAUGCUAGGUGUUGGAGGGUUUCCGCCCUUCAGUGCCGCAGCUAACGCAUUAAGCAUUCCGCCUGGGGAGUACGACCGCAAGGUUGAAACUCAAAGGAAUUGACGGGGGCCCGCACAAGCGGUGGAGCAUGUGGUUUAAUUCGAAGCAACGCGAAGAACCUUACCAGGUCUUGACAUCUUUUGAUCACCUGAGAGAUCAGGUUUCCCCUUCGGGGGCAAAAUGACAGGUGGUGCAUGGUUGUCGUCAGCUCGUGUCGUGAGAUGUUGGGUUAAGUCCCGCAACGAGCGCAACCCUUAUGACUAGUUGCCAGCAUUUAGUUGGGCACUCUAGUAAGACUGCCGGUGACAAACCGGAGGAAGGUGGGGAUGACGUCAAAUCAUCAUGCCCCUUAUGACCUGGGCUACACACGUGCUACAAUGGAUGGUACAACGAGUUGCGAGACCGCGAGGUCAAGCUAAUCUCUUAAAGCCAUUCUCAGUUCGGACUGUAGGCUGCAACUCGCCUACACGAAGUCGGAAUCGCUAGUAAUCGCGGAUCAGCACGCCGCGGUGAAUACGUUCCCGGGCCUUGUACACACCGCCCGUCACACCAUGAGAGUUUGUAACACCCGAAGCCGGUGGCGUAACCCUUUUAGGGAGCGAGCCGUCUAAGGUGAACCGAAAAC